rnacentral:rRNA from 1 species
GGGUUGUGAGGUUAAGUGACUAAGCGUACACGGUGGAUGCCCUGGCAGUCAGAGGCGAUGAAGGACGUGCUAAUCUGCGAAAAGCGUCGGUAAGGUGAUAUGAACCGUUAUAACCGGCGAUGUCCGAAUGGGGAAACCCAGUGCAAUUCGUUGCACUAUCGUUAACUGAAUACAUAGGUUAACGAGGCGAACCGGGGGAACUGAAACAUCUAAGUACCCCGAGGAAAAGAAAUCAACCGAGAUUCCCCCAGUAGCGGCGAGCGAACGGGGAGCAGCCCAGAGUCUGAAUCAGCUUGUGUGUUAGUGGAACGGUCUGGAAAGUCCGACGGUACAGGGUGAUAGUCCCGUACACCAAAAUGCACAGGCUGUGAACUCGAAGAGUAGGGCGGGACACGUGGUAUCCUGUCUGAAUAUGGGGGGACCAUCCUCCAAGGCUAAAUACUCCUGACUGACCGAUAGUGAACCAGUACCGUGAGGGAAAGGCGAAAAGAACCCCGGCGAGGGGAGUGAAAAAGAACCUGAAACCGUGUACGUACAAGCAGUGGGAGCACCUUCGGGUGUGACUGCGUACCUUUUGUAUAAUGGGUCAGCGACUUAUAUUCUGUAGCAAGGUUAACCGUAUAGGGGAGCCGCAGGGAAACCGAGUCUUAACUGGGCGUUAAGUUGCAGGGUAUAGACCCGAAACCCGGUGAUCUAGCCAUGGGCAGGUUGAAGGUUGGGUAACACUAACUGGAGGACCGAACCGACUAAUGUUGAAAAAUUAGCGGAUGACUUGUGGCUGGGGGUGAAAGGCCAAUCAAACCGGGAGAUAGCUGGUUCUCCCCGAAAGCUAUUUAGGUAGCGCCUCGUGAACUCAUCUUCGGGGGUAGAGCACUGUUUCGGCUAGGGGGUCAUCCCGACUUACCAACCCGAUGCAAACUACGAAUACCGAAGAAUGUUAUCACGGGAGACACACGGCGGGUGCUAACGUCCGUCGUGAAGAGGGAAACAACCCAGACCGCCAGCUAAGGUCCCAAAGUCAUGGUUAAGUGGGAAACGAUGUGGGAAGGCACAGACAGCCAGGAUGUUGGCUUAGAAGCAGCCAUCAUUUAAAGAAAGCGUAAUAGCUCACUGGUCGAGUCGGCCUGCGCGGAAGAUGUAACGGGGCUAAACCAUGCACCGAAGCUGCGGCAGCGACACUAUGUGUUGUUGGGUAGGGGAGCGUUCUGUAAGCCUGCGAAGGUGUGCUGUGAGGCAUGCUGGAGGUAUCAGAAGUGCGAAUGCUGACAUAAGUAACGAUAAAGCGGGUGAAAAGCCCGCUCGCCGGAAGACCAAGGGUUCCUGUCCAACGUUAAUCGGGGCAGGGUGAGUCGACCCCUAAGGCGAGGCCGAAAGGCGUAGUCGAUGGGAAACAGGUUAAUAUUCCUGUACUUGGUGUUACUGCGAAGGGGGGACGGAGAAGGCUAUGUUAGCCGGGCGACGGUUGUCCCGGUUUAAGCAUGUAGGCUGGUUGUCCAGGCAAAUCCGGAUAAUCAAGGCUGAGGUGUGAUGACGAGGUACUACGGUGCUGAAGUAACAAAUGCCCUGCUUCCAGGAAAAGCCUCUAAGCAUCAGGUAACAUCAAAUCGUACCCCAAACCGACACAGGUGGUCAGGUAGAGAAUACCAAGGCGCUUGAGAGAACUCGGGUGAAGGAACUAGGCAAAAUGGUGCCGUAACUUCGGGAGAAGGCACGCUGGUGUGUAGGUGAAGUCCCUGCGGAUGGAGCUGAGACCAGUCGAAGAUACCAGCUGGCUGCAACUGUUUAUUAAAAACACAGCACUGUGCAAACACGAAAGUGGACGUAUACGGUGUGACGCCUGCCCGGUGCCGGAAGGUUAAUUGAUGGGGUUAUCCGUAAGGAGAAGCUCUUGAUCGAAGCCCCGGUAAACGGCGGCCGUAACUAUAACGGUCCUAAGGUAGCGAAAUUCCUUGUCGGGUAAGUUCCGACCUGCACGAAUGGCGUAAUGAUGGCCAGGCUGUCUCCACCCGAGACUCAGUGAAAUUGAACUCGCUGUGAAGAUGCAGUGUACCCGCGGCAAGACGGAAAGACCCCGUGAACCUUUACUAUAGCUUGACACUGAACAUUGAGCCUUGAUGUGUAGGAUAGGUGGGAGGCUUUGAAGCGUGGACGCCAGUCUGCGUGGAGCCAACCUUGAAAUACCACCCUUUAAUGUUUGAUGUUCUAACGUUGGCCCCUUACCGGGGUUGCGGACAGUGUCUGGUGGGUAGUUUGACUGGGGCGGUCUCCUCCCAAAGCGUAACGGAGGAGCACGAAGGUUAGCUAAUCCUGGUCGGACAUCAGGAGGUUAGUGCAAUGGCAUAAGCUAGCUUGACUGCGAGCGUGACGGCGCGAGCAGGUGCGAAAGCAGGUCAUAGUGAUCCGGUGGUUCUGAAUGGAAGGGCCAUCGCUCAACGGAUAAAAGGUACUCCGGGGAUAACAGGCUGAUACCGCCCAAGAGUUCAUAUCGACGGCGGUGUUUGGCACCUCGAUGUCGGCUCAUCACAUCCUGGGGCUGAAGUAGGUCCCAAGGGUAUGGCUGUUCGCCAUUUAAAGUGGUACGCGAGCUGGGUUUAGAACGUCGUGAGACAGUUCGGUCCCUAUCUGCCGUGGGCGCUGGAGAAUUGAGGGGGGCUGCUCCUAGUACGAGAGGACCGGAGUGGACGCAUCACUGGUGUUCGGGUUGUCAUGCCAAUGGCACUGCCCGGUAGCUAAAUGCGGAAGAGAUAAGUGCUGAAAGCAUCUAAGCACGAAACUUGCCCCGAGAUGAGUUCUCCCUGAGACUUUAAGUCUCCUGAAGGAACGUUAAAGACGAUGACGUUGAUAGGCCGGGUGUGUAAGCGCAGCGAUGCGUUGAGCUAACCGGUACUAAUGAACCGUGAGGCUUAACCUUACAACGCCGAAG